UGGUGGAGUGAUUUGUCUGGUUAAUUCCGUUAACGAACGAGACCUUAACCUGCUAAAUAGUUAUGCGAACUUUGGUUCGUAACUAACUUCUUAGAGGGACUGUGGAUGCUAAUCCACGGAAGUUUGAGGCAAUAACA
rnacentral:rRNA from 1 species